ACAGCUGGUCAGCGGGGUGGGACAGGGUGGAAGCUAAAUGGCUGCUCUAAAACGCCUUGGUGUAAACAACCCGGGGAAGGACUUCCUUGAACUGCCAGUUACCUGAGUGCGAUCCAUCUCACUAAAGCGUCUGCCCCAAGAGGGGUAGUAUCACCGGGAAAGAAAACAAAUAAAAGACACCCAGCAUGUCGCAGCGCAGGCACAGGCUGGGGAAUGCUGUCCCCUGGAGGGGGUGAGGGAUCCUCAGCAAGGUAUAGUGAGUCAAACUACAGCAUUUCAUUUAGACAGCAAACUACUCCAUAUUUCCUCGUGUUUUGAAAGCCCCAUCUUCUGGCAACAACUCCGUGGAAAAUAAUGUGCUGAUCACAAGCAAAUCACAGGAGCUAUGGAUCACACAUCUUGGAAGAGGCUGUGCUACUGGCCAGAAAAUUUUCUUCCUAAUGGAAGCCCAGCUAACCACAGGAUCUGCUGCAGACCACAGACCAGCCAAACUCUACUAAAGACAGCCCACUAGGUUGGAAUGCGACCACAGUUUGGAAACCACUGGCUCAUGAAAUAAACGAGAUAAUAUUUCAA